rnacentral:rRNA from 1 species
CCUACGGGCGGCAGCAGUGGGGAAUAUUGCACAAUGGGGGGAACCCUGAUGCAGCAACGCCGCGUGAAGGAAGACGGUUUUCGGCUUGUAAACUUCCAUCUAUAGGGAAGAAAGAAAUGACGGUACCUACAUACGAAGCCCCGGCUAACUACGUGCCAGCAGCCGCGGUAAUACGUAGGGGGCAAUCGUUCUCCGGAAUUACUGGGUGUAAAGGGAGAGUAGGCGGCAAGGUAAGCGAUAUGGGAAAGCCUUAGGCUUAACCUGAGGAGUGCAUAACGAACUGGCUAGCUAGAGUACAGGAGAGGAAAGCGGAAUUCCUAGUGGAGCGGUGAAAUGCGUAGAUAUUAGGAAGAACACCAGGGGCGAAGGCAGCUUUCUGGACUGAAACUGACGCUGAGGCUCGAAAGCGUGGGGAGCGAACAGGAUUAGAUACCCUUGUAGUC